rnacentral:sRNA from 1 species
AACAAAAAACCAACAAAAAAACACUCUCUUUGUUUGCAAGUCUACUUCGUU